AACUUGAAGGACUGAAACUGAAAGACAGGACAUUCUGGUUUGGAGCCUGCUCUUUAAUUGCAUCUUUAUUGCAAACCCGUCUCUUCAUCUGUGGUUCUGCCUGGAAAAAGAACAACUCAACAGACAAAAGAACUUUUCUAUUGGCCCUACUGGCGGGCCGAUACCGCAGUCUUUGUGACAGAGUGUGCAGGAUGCUUACACAGAGGAAAGGUUUGUAGCUGCAGUGCCUCUUCCAGACAAAUUAGCAAGAUCCGUUGCUACCUAGAUUAUGAACAACUGGAUGCUUGUACAGAAACUGGAUGAGCUUGUACGGAAACUGGAUGCUUGUACGGAAACUGGAUGAGCUUGUACGGAAACUGGAUGCUUUUACGGAAACUGGAUGAGCUUUUACGGAAACUGGAUGCUUGUACGGAAACUGGAUGCUUGUACGGAAACUGGAUGCUUGUACGGAAACUGGAUGCUUGUACGGAAAAUAGAUGCUUGUACGGAAACUGGAUGCUUGUACGGAAACUGGAUGAGCUUUUACGGAAAUCCUGCAACACUUAGGAUGGAUCAAGGACAAGAGUUUGAUAAUUUAACAUUAAAAAAUCUUAAUUUCUUAAGCAUUAAUGUCAAGGUUGGCUUUAGUCACAAUCAUCAAUCCAAUGCAGUUGAAAGAUUUCACAAAACUUUUUGGGCAUUAUUGAGAGCAAAGAAAAGCAAUGGAGAAAAUUAUUUGGAAAAAUGUUUACCAACCUUGAUAUUAGCAUUAUUCGACAAAUUCAAGCCCAGCCAGAAUUUUCUUGUGAAGUCGAGAACUUAACCUCCCACACUUGUCUUUGCUGCCUAAAUUCAAACAAAAUGAACCCCCCCCCCCCCUCUCAUUCCGUUGAAGAAGACCUUGAGUUCAUUGUCGAUCUUGUGAGAAAGUCUGAUGCUGUUAGAAUAAGAAGACAAUUUUGUACAUAUGAAUAUGGGCGAUAAGGUUUACUGCACGUGAAUUUAACGGAUCUGUCAAUAUUCCAGAAAGCUGUGACUUUCGAUCACAA